ensembl:lncRNA
CCACCGCCGGGGAGGGGCCCUAGGCCCCGCCCCUCGUCCCUCCCCCGCGCGCGGAUUGGCGGCCGGCGGCGCCGACCCGCACAUGGGCGCUGGACGGCGAGGGGCGCGGCGCUGUCGGGGCCGCGGGUUCGGGGCCGCCGCUCGCCGCUCGCCAUGGCCCGGCGCAGCUCGCUCUCCAUCCGCGUCGUGGAGGGCAGGAACCUGCCCGCCAAAGACAUGUGAGUCCCCCGCGGGAGGGGCUGGGGCUUGGGGGCUGCCCCCGGGAGGGCUCCGGGAUGCCUCCGGCAGUGCCCGCUGCUUCGGGGCACCUCCGGCGUUGUCUGUGCGUUAGGGCUUCCCCCCCCGGGCUGCUUCGGGGUGCCCCCCUUGCAGUGCCAGGUGCUUUGGGGCCCCCCCCCCAGGGCUGCUUCGGGGUGCCCCCCUUGCAGUGCCAGGUGCUUUGGGGCUCCCCCGGUGCUGCUUUGGGGUGCCCCCUCUGCAGUGCUAGGUGCCUUGGGUGCCCUCUUGCAACGCCUUGGGGUGCCCCCCUGCAGUGCCGGGUGCUUUGGGGUGCCCCCCAGGCAUGCUUUGGGGUGCCCCCCUGCAGUGUCUGUGCUUUAGGGCUUCCCCCCAGGAGUGCUAUGGGGUGCCCCCAGCAGUGCCCAGUGCUUUGGGUGCCCCUGCUCCGGGGCUCCCCCCGGCACCCCAAUGCUGCUGUGCGCAGGGCUUGCCCCCCCCCCCCCCCCCCCCCCCCAUCUGCAGCCGCCCCAGAGCUGUGUCCUUGGUGGGGCCUGGAGCCCCCGGGUGCCUGGGCACGGACGCGCAGCUGGACCCCACACGGACGCGCAGCCGGACCCCACGUGCACCCUCGGCGCAGCCGUCCUGAAAGCAGCUGCGGCAGCCCCCGUGCUUCCCGUCCCUCCGUCACUUCUCCUUUCCGAGUCCCGGCUCGAACCCAGCGGGGCAGCCGCCCCCAGGCACGCUUCCCUGCUCGCUCCGGCUUCCAGCCGCCAUUCCCGCGGGGCCGGCAGCAGCUGCCCACUGUGCCGUUGGCCUUGCUGCUCUUCUUGCCCGCUGCUAUUCCCAUGGGAUGGAGGCGCGGGGGCCCGGCUGCGGAGCCGCUUGCCGCCGGCAGGACGCUCUUGCGGGCACGUUGAGGAGCUGCUCCGCAGCCCGGCUGGGAAAUCACUGGAAAACUUUGCUGGAAAAUCAGCAAAAAGCCCCACAGCUGUCAUGGAGGGGAAAAAAAGAGGAUAGACAUGGAAAGAAAUAUGCCUUCCCCCUCCCUGCGCUGUGUGUCAGGCCUGAUUUAAAUCCUUUGGAGCAACUCCCUGCCGGGAACUUGAGCUGGCGACAGGAGGUGGGAUUUCGGGAGGGCUGCAGAAGACUGGAUGCGAGAUUGCACUUUACCCGGGGGUUUCCAAAUCCGUGGGAAAACGCAGCCGGGGAAGGGGCAGGGAGCCUGGCUGGGGCUGGGAAAAGGGAAACCGGAGACCUGGCUCCUUCCUUCACCUGCCGCUGCCUGACCUUGGCCGCGGCUCCCCCCGGCUCGCUGGCCGCCUCCUGCCCACGGAUGGGGUUCACGACAGCCGUUCGCUCCGCCCUGCCCCGCGCGAAGCGGCAGGGCUUGUCGCGGCCGCAGCGUUGAGCGGGGUUUUGCCCCCGUGCACGGCGCCGCCCGCGGAGGCGAUGCUGGAGGGGGGCUCGCGCGCCCCCGCCGGGGCCGUCGUCACCCGCCUCCGGGGGGUUUGGUCCCUGGCUGCCUCCGAUUUUCCCAUCCCCGGGCUCGUUUGCAGGUCUGUCCCCGCUUGUCAAACCCGCGGGGGCCGUGACCGUGAGACCUGCGCCUUCGUGAGCGAUCCCCGGCCUCGGGAGCGGGCAAGCAACCCGAGAGACUCGCCGGAUGAAUUUAGGAUGCGGGAAGCCGCCGGGUGCACGUGCGUGGGGCGGCCGCGGGGCUCCGGCCGGGGCUGCGGGAGCCCCGACGGUUUAGGCAGCGUUUUCUUUAGCCCGUGACGGCGUUUGCUUUCUCAGCCGCCUGGGACGAAAUCCCUCCUUGGCAGCCGGGAGGGAGCCUGGCCUCGGCUGGUCUCCAGCACCACGGCUCGCUGGCCCCUCCUGCCUCGGGCUCUUAGUUAUGCUGUCAAACGCCCGGCC